AGCUUUGCGCAGUGGCAGUAUCGUAGCCAAUGAGGUUUAUCCGAGGCGCGAUUAUUGCUAAUUGAAAACUUUUCCCAAUACAUAAUCAACUGUGUGCAUAAAUUCACACAAAUGAGCCUGAACAUUGUAUUCUAA